CUACGGGGGGCAGCAGUGAGGAAUAUUGCACAAUGGGGGGAACCCUGAUGCAGCAACGCCGCGUGGAGGAUGACGCAUUUCGGUGUGUAAACUCCUUUUAUAUGUUAAGAAAAUGACGGUAGCAUAUGAAUAAGCACCGGCUAACUCCGUGCCAGUAGCCGCGGUAAUACGGAGGGUGCAAGCGUUACUCGGAAUCACUGGGCGUAAAGGACGCGUAGGCGGGUUGGAAAGUCAGGUGUGAAAUCCUACAGCUUAACUGUAGAACUGCACUUGAAACUUCUAAUCUAGAGUAUGGGAGGGGGAGAUGGAAUUAGUGGUGUAGGGGUAAAAUCCGUAGAUAUCACUAGGAAUACCUAAAGCGAAGGCGAUCUCCUGGAACAUUACUGACGCUAAGGCGUGAAAGCGUGGGGAGCAAACAGGAUUAGAUACCCCUGUAGUC
rnacentral:rRNA from 1 species